rnacentral:rRNA from 1 species
CCUACGGGAGGCAGCAGUGAGGAAUAUUGGUCAAUGGGCGCGAGCCUGAACCAGCCAAGUAGCGUGAAGGAUGACUGCCCUACGGGUUGUAAACUUCUUUUAUAAAGGAAUAAAGUGAGGCACGUGUGCCUUUUUGUAUGUACUUUCUGAAUAAGGAUCGGCUAACUCCGUGCCAGCAGACGCGGUAAUACGGAGGGUCCGAACGUUAUCCGGAUUUAUUGGGUUUAAAGGUAGCGUAGAUGGGUUGUUAAGUCAGUUGUGAAAGUUUGCGGCUCAACCGUAAAAUUGCAAUUGUUACUGGCAGUCUUGAGUACAGUUGAGGUAGGCGGAAUUCGUGGUGUAGCGGUGAAAUGCUUAGAUAUCACGAAGAACUCCGAUUGCGAAGGCAGCUUACUAAACUGCCACUGACAUUGAUGCUCGAAAGUGUGGGUAUCAAACAGGAUUAGAUACCCUAGUAGUC